GUAGGUUGCAAGCGUUAUCCGGAAUUAUUGGGCGUAAAGAGUGAGCAGGCGGCCUGCCAAGCACGGGGUCAAAUGACGGGGCUCAACCCCGUCCCGUCCCGUGAACUGGCUGGCUGGAGUCCUGGAGAGGCAAGCGGAACUCCACAUGUAGCGGUGAAAUGCGCAGAUAUGUGGAAGAACACCGGCGGCGAAGGCGGCUUGCUAGACAGCGACUGACGCUCAGUCACGAAAGCGUGGGGAGCAAAUAGGCUUAGAUACCCUAGUAGUCCACGCCGUAAACGUAGAGGACCUGGUGGCGGGGGCAUACCCCGCCGCCGAAGCUAACGCAAUGAGUCCUCCGCCUGGGUACU
rnacentral:rRNA from 1 species